UACGAAGGGGGCUAGCGUUGCUCGGAAUCACUGGGCGUAAAGCGCACGUAGGCGGAUUGCUAAGUCAGGGGUGAAAUCCUGGAGCUCAACUCCAGAACUGCCUUUGAUACUGGCGACCUUGAGUCCGGGAGAGGUGAGUGGAACUGCGAGUGUAGAGGUGAAAUUCGUAGAGAUUAGGUGGAACACCAGAGGCGAAGGCGCCUGACUGGCCAAGUAUUGACGCUGAGGCGCGAAAGCGCGGGGAGCAAACAGG
rnacentral:rRNA from 1 species